rnacentral:rRNA from 1 species
CCUACGGGAGGCAUCAGUGAGGAAUAUUGGUCAAUGGUCGCGAGCCUGAACCAGCCAAGUCGCGUGAAGGAUGACUGCCCUACGGGUUGUAAACUUCUUUUAUAAAGGAAUAAAGUGAGGCACGUGUGCCUUUUUGUAUGUACUUUAUGAAUAAGGAUCGGCUAACUCCGUGCCAGCAGCCGCGGUAAUACGGAGGAUCCGAGCGUUAUCCGGAUUUAUUGGGUUUAAAGGGAGCGUAGAUGGGUUGUUAAGUCAGUUGUGAAAGUUUGCGGCUCAACCGUAAAAUUGCAAUUGAUACUGGCAGCCUUGAGGACAGUUGAGGUAGGCGGAAUGCGUGGUGUAGCGGUGAAAUGCUUAGAUAUCACGAAGAACUCCGAUUGCGAAGGCAGCUUACUAAACUGCCACUGACAUUGAUGCACGAAAGUGUGGGUAUCAAACAGGAUUAGAUACCCUUGUAGUC